rfam:Trichobilharzia regenti genome assembly, scaffold: TRE_contig0001355
AUCCAGCUGACAAGUCCGAAACAGGAUGAAAUGCACAUCCUGGAU